rnacentral:rRNA from 1 species
GAGGAGCUCGCGUCCUAUCAGCUUGUUGGUGGGGUAAUGGCCUACCAAGGCUAAGACGGGUAGCUAGUCUGAGAGGAUGUUUAGCCACACUGGGACUGAGACACUGCCCAGACUCCUACGGGAGGCUGCAGUCGAGAAUCUUUAGCAAUGGGGGAAACCCUGACUAUGCGACGCCGCGUGAGGGAUGACGGUCUUCGGAUUGUAAACCUCUUUCGACCGGAAAGAACAUCUUUGAUGUGAAUAACAUCAAGGACUGACGGUACCGGGAGAAGAAGCCACGGCCAACUCCGUGCCAGCAGC